rnacentral:rRNA from 1 species
ACGGCCAUGCACCACCAUCCACCGAAUCAAGAAAGAGCUCUCAAUCUGUCAAUCCUUCCGCUGUCUGGACCUGGUGAGGUUUCCCGUGUUGAGUCAAAUUAAGCCGCAGGCUCCACUCCUGGUGGUGCCCUUCCGUCAAUUCCUUUAAGUUUCAGCUUUGCAACCAUACUUCCCCCGGAACCCAAAAGCUUUGGUUUCCCGGAAGCUGCCCGCCGAGUCAUCGGAGGAACGUCGGCGGAUCGCUAGCUGGCAUCGUUUAUGGUCAGAACUAGGGCGGUAUCUGAUCGCCUUCGAACCUCUGACUUUCGUUCUUGAUUAAUGAAAACAUUUUUGGCAAAUGCUUUCGCUUCUGUCCGUCUUGCGACGAUCCAAGAAUUUCACCUCUAACGUCGCAAUACGAAUGCCCCCAUCUGUCCCUAUUAAUCAUUACCUCGGGUUUCCGAAAACCAACAAAAUAGAACCGAGGUCCUGUUCCAUUAUUCCAUGCACACAGUAUUCAGGCGAAAUUUUAGCCUGCUUUGAGCACUCUAAUUUGUUCAAAGUAAACGUGCCGGCCCGCCUCGACACUCAAUUAAGAGCACCGCGACAGGAUUAUUGAGUCGGAUGGUAGAGCGUCUGCAACCCCACCACAUCAUACAGUAACAACCGAAAUUGCACACGCACAAUGGGGAAGCAUACAGAGUCCACGCAUCCACCGGCAGGACGUUCCGCGGACGUGCCAGUUAAACACCGCGGGCGGUGAACCGACAGCGCGGAACACAAAUUCAACUACGAGCUUUUUAACCGCAACAACAUUAAUAUACGCUAUUGGAGCUGGUAUUACCGCGGCUGCUGGCACCAGACUUGCCCUCCAAUGGGUACUCGUUAAAGGAUUUAAAGUGUACUCAUUCCGAUUACGGGGCCUCGGAUGAGUCCCGUAUCGUUAUUUUUCGUCACUACCUCCCCGUGCCGGGAGUGGGUAAUUUGCGCGCCUGCUGCCUUCC